rnacentral:misc_RNA from 1 species
AUGAAUUACAAGUCGGUCGAUUGUGCUGGUGCAACCACACAUGUGCACGUCGAUUGGCAAAUCAUCCACACACCUUGUGCACCUUAAGACCACAGAGCGGUUCGUCGGGAUUUUGGUCUCGACUUGAGCGGCCCUGUCGGUACUUUUUUUUUCACAAACUUGUAUGUAAUUGGGAUGUCCUAGUGCUUUUAAGCAUGAUAAACCAAAAAA